GGCGGAGGAGCUGCGACGCGUGAACUGACCGCGCGUGGCGGCGAGUUUCCUUGGGAACGCUCCUUUCCGACGCAGUGGGAAGAGCAGGGCAGCUCCCGCUGCGGGCUUUGUCUGUCGGGCCGCUGCCGAGCGGGGCGCUUUGUUGAGUUUUGUGUUCGCUGCGUAAGAUGGAUAAAGCCCGGAGUUGGGCUUUGGGAUUGGUUGCGCUGUUCUUUCCUGCUUCCUUUUGAGCUGCUGCUGCCGGGCUGUACGAUAACCUCACUGCUCACAUCCAGACGUGGCCCGCGCAGAAAUGUACCGCCUGCCCGAGGCAGGAAGAACAGCCCGUGCCUUUUAGUUCCUCUGCAGAUGAGGAGUUGAUGUGCCUCGUGGCGACUCUGCAGGCUGUAAAACCCUAAGUCCCUGCUGCUAUCCGCAGCACGUCAGCGGUGCGUCGAGUCCGUUCAGCGCGCUUCUGCUUUGGGGGGACACCCUCGUGCUUUCGCCCAGAGGAAACUGGCACGGCCCCCAGAGCCUCCCUGCCAAGCCCAGCCCCACACCCGCGGCCCAGAGGCAGCGCAGCCGGCAGUACGGCGACGUCUCCUUUGCUUUCCCUGGUAGCACGUUCUGCUUGUAAACACAAUGCCAAGUUUUUAUUAGUUCGUUCUUGUGAAAUUUCCAUGGCAGAGCGAGGUGACGUAGUACCCAAUUGUGUGUAAUUGUUGCUUGUUGGAGUGCAGCGUGACUAAUGUUUGGAGGCUUUCUGCUGCUAUCUCCUACCUUCUUGUCAGCAAGGAAAAUUAUACGACGCCUGAAAUUCCAGUGCCAGCUCUGUGUUUAAGUUCUCCCAAUCCUCCUACAGCGUGGCGUAUGUGAAAUAGGUGUUGUCCUCGGCCCUUCUUCGGCCCUUGCAGAGUGACAGAAUGCAUUAAAUUGCUGCCCCACCCUCACGGUGAGCAUCCAUCCCAAAAUAUUUAAAUCAAAUAUCCGUGUGUCUUUCUUUGUAAAUGCGGGCCGUUUGAGAAUAGGUUGUCUUCAGUGUUACAAUAAAAAGGCAGGCCUACCUUCAGUAUUGUACACAAUAUUUUACUACACUUUGAUAACAGUGGGAAGGCAAAAUCUGUCCAAAGCAAUGAAAGAGCGCAUCUUGCAUAAGUACCUGUUUAGAAUCACAGAUUCAUUCCAAUGUAAAGAAGAAACAGCAGAAUAAAUGUGUUUAUAGUAAAACAUUAGGCACUGUCCAGUUCUGGGCUCCUCAAUUCAAGAAAGACAGGGAGCUGCUGGAGAGAGUCCAGCACAGGGCUGCAAAGAUGGCUGGGGGCAUGGAGCACCUCUUGUGUGAGGAAAGGCUGAGAGACCUGGGGCUGUUCAGCCCAGAGAAGAGAAAGCUGGUGAUUUCAUCACUGUUUAUAGAUAUCUAAAGGGUGGGAGCUGAGUGGAUGGGGCCAGAUUCUUUUCAGCUGCCCAACAACAGUGCAGUGGACACAAACUGGAACGUAGGAAGUUCCAUACAAGCGUAAGGAAGAACCUUACUGCGAGGAGGACAGGAUGCUGGGAGCUGCCCAGAGAGGUUGAGGACACUCAAAACCCACCCAACCGCUUUCCUGCGUAACCUGCUGUAGGCAGCCUGCUGUAGCAGGAGCUGGACUAGAAGAUCUGCAGAACUCCCUCCCAACUCCUAUGAUUCUGUGAAAAAUGUUGCCCUAAACCAGACUGUAACAGAGCGGUACAGCAGUGGCUGUGUGGCAGCCCUCACCCUGCAGUGGCUGCUCUGAGAUUUACGAGCUUGAGAGCCUCUGUGGGAAUCACUCAUCUGCGUGGCUGCAGCAGGAUACGGAACCCACAGUGCGCAGACAAUAGGAGCUGAGUUUUUCCAGAAGACUUUAAAUGGAUUGUGGAAACUAGAUCGACGUGCUUCUCUCUAUCAUUCUGUGUGCACGUAGGGACAUCUGUGAUCAUUUUCAAGACCAUAAAAAAGAAAAGAGGCAAAACCAUAACAGAAAAAAUGCCAGACGUGUAUCAGUUCAGUGUCCAACACACAUUAAGGAUAAGCUUGGCAGAGUACUGCUUACUACAAACGUGUUGCCACUUUAAUGAAAAUAAUUAUGAAGUAUCAAAAGCGAAUGUAAUGGAUUAUUAAUCAAAACACUUGUUUAAAUACACCAUCUUGUUGCACCUAAGUGCUGCACACAGACCGAUCAAAUGCUUUUGGCUUUAUACUCUUUGCUGCUGACCAGAGCAAUGCAACAGAACCUUGCUGAUGUCUCCAAAUAAAAAUACCGCUUUCUGAAA